rnacentral:rRNA from 1 species
ACUCAAAUGAAUUGACGGGGGCCCGCACAAGCGGUGGAGCAUGUGGUUUAAUUCGAUGCAACGCGAAGAACCUUACCUACUCUUGAAUCUACGGAAUCUAGCAGAGAUGUUGGAGUGCCUUCGGGAACCGUAAGACAGGUGCUGCAUGGCUGUCGUCAGCUCGUGUCGUGAGAUGUUGGGUUAAGUCCCGUAACGAGCGCAACCCUUAUCCUUAGUUACCAGCGAGUAAAGUCGGGGACUUUAAGGAGACUGCCGGUGAUAAACCGGAGGAAGGUGGGGAUGACGUCAAGUCCUCAUGGCCCAUACGAGUAGGGCUACACACGUGCUACAAUGGCCGGUACAAAGGGUAGCGAACCUGCGAAGGGGAGCCAAUCUCAAAAAGCCGGUCGUAGUCCGGAUUGGAGUCUGCAACUCGACUCCAUGAAGUUGGAAUCGCUAGUAAUCGCGGAUCAGAACGCCGCGGUGAAUACGUUCCCGGGCCUUGUACACACCGCCCGU